AUAUUUAUCUUGCAGGGAAGGUACCAUGAUCACAAAGGUGGUUUGCCCCGGGUGAGAAUUAUCCAUUACAUUCUGGAUGUACUAACCCCUUUGAUUUCACCAGAAGUGGGAAACUUGACUACAUAAUUUGUGGUUGUGAGGGACUGUCUUCACGCUCUCCUCUG
ensembl:snRNA U1 U1 spliceosomal RNA